AAAAAUUAUAUAAAUACUGUUCGGCUUCUCGCACAAACCGAUCGUUUCGUUUCUUAGGAUAUCAAUGUGUCGUCACGAGCGGCAGGGUUUAAUUUGGAUUUGUCUGUGCAUGUUUUUACUGUCUGAGAUUUUGUUACUAUUCACAUGCAUACAGACUGAAACGGUUGGAGUUUCUACAUUUGUGUUGUACUGAAGAAACAAAAUCACAUACAUCUUGGAUGGCCUCGGGGUAAGCUGAUAAAUACAAAAAAUUCAUUUUAAGAUGAAUCCCGUACGUUGGCGGCUGUUUUAAACUGGGUGCUCGGCUCCGACCCUUUUGCCAGUAUGAAGCCGAUUUCAACGGUAACUGCAGAAAGCGUCAGCACGCUCAGCUCAUCACUGGAGUAACGUCUGUACAACGGGUGAGAUAAAACUCAACGCCUGACUGAAUCAUCCAUUCCCUUUUCGAUCCUACGCCAUACGUUAAACUUGAGGUAAGUCUUGUGUUCAGUUUCCUUAAAAAGCAUCAACAUUCACGCUAAGCAUAGUUUCAAUCGAGUUCCCGUCACAUCAUAUAUUAACUCUAUUUCGAACUGUUGCUGAUUACAUGUUGGUUAUUAUUGAUUCGUUCAUGUUCCUUUGACAUGUUCAUGUACUUUUUUCCAGAUGAAACAAACAUAAAGAAUUCAUAAUUCAUUUAAGAAUUAUUAAUUAGGACAACAUCAAAUUAUUUAUCAUGUCUGAGAAAAGUAGUGCAAAUUUUGGAUAAUAUGAAAGUGGCUCCAACUUUUAUGGCGCGAACGAAGCUAGCAUUGACUAGCUGGGAUGUUAAAUAAUGGGACGCAAUUUUUAUUAAAUGCAAUUUACGUGAUUAAUAUUUACAAGCAUAGUGUUCUUUGGAAGAAAAUUAAGUGGAACAAAAUGUUAGCUGGUAGUGCUGUGACAAAUCGCAGUUGAUCCGAACCACGGUUCGGCUCGCAUGUGAUUCGCGGAUUAAUAUAUACCAGUGUAUGGAAUGUCACAAUUAUAGAUUUGUAUGUAAACUUAAACAUGUCUUGAUGGACCCUAAUUUAUGCACUGUGCAGUUAUGCUGGUAGUUGGGUAAUGUCAUAAUGGUUAUUGGGUUGGGCUUGGACUAAAAAAGGGAAAUUGUAAUGGUUUAGUAUAAUAAGACAUUAUGUAUGGUUUUGUACAAUGCUAAUCUUUUUUUCUUUUUUCCUCAGGUAAUCUUGCUUUUGCUGUUCUAAAAUAAACACUGCUCUUAGCACACCACCCAUACAUGGCACACAAAACAGGUCUUGUGAGGGGGCUGUGCCCACAGGUAGAAAUUCUGUAGGUCCACGGGCUUCUCCCCUUUCAGCGAACAUCACAGCGCUUAGUCCACCAUCGUGGUCUCCAAUCUCCAUUACCAACAGCCUGAGUGCUACACCUACAGACACCCCAACCCAUGCAGCAGCUGGCAGAAGUCAGACAUCAGGCCAAACUGGAUUUCAACACACCCCACCCUUACAUGGCACACAAGUAUAUGACACACAACACAGGUCUUCUCAGGAGGCUGUGCCUACAGCAAUAGGCUUUAUGCCCAGCUGCACUACUUCCUGAACUUCAGCCAGCUCCUUGUUUCCUGUCUGCCAUUAUUGGACAAACUGAUUAAUCCAGGUGUGCCUGAGCUUAGUAGUCACAACAACAAUAAUCAGACACACCUGGAUUUAUCAGUUUGUCCAGUAAUGGCAGACAGGAAACAAGGAGCUUAAAGCCUAUUGCUAAGGAGAUCCUCAUCCAGCUCGAUUUUAUUAGAGAGCAGCAGUUGCAGACUUCACCCCAGACCCAACACAUUUUGGGCUCCCACUUUCAACUAUUGAGGAGCUACAAUGUUUGUAGGAGACAUUAAAUAAUCCAGAUGAGAAGAAGAAUUUGGUGAGACUGUGUUUCCUGCAAUGGUCGGAGACAAGACUCUUAAAGACACCGUGGGGUGGGUCCUGAAAAAAACAAUGAACUCUUCGUGGUGAGACUCAUCAAUUGAAGUGGGGUCAACUGAACGCCUGCAUUCAAAGGGCUCACUUUGAAAAGUGUGGUUUUGGAUGCAGUCCGCCGGAAU